rnacentral:sRNA from 1 species
GAUGAAGCAAGGAGGUGGAAUAUGCAGAGGUCAUUCACCCGUCAGUUUUACCUGCGCUAUUUUAUUGCAACACAGGGAGUGUCCUGGCUGGCCCGUCAGAGCGCACGGCAGCGACUGAAGUUGCUUGAAGAACUGAUGCAGUGGGACGUUACAAAUCCUGUCUCUGAUUCUGUUCAUCCUCAGGAGGCAAGAUUACCUGAACGAUGAACGCAUCGCUGACUUGCAGACAUCAUGUGUGACUGAGUAUUGGUGUAAUAUCACCCGCCAGCAGAUUAUUUCUGCUGGCUUUUUU